rnacentral:tmRNA from 1 species
GGGGGCGACUCUGGUUUCGACUGUUGCUCGUUUUGGUAUAGUUGCAUGUAAGGGGUGAGGGGCCUCUUUAAAAAACCUUCAACAAAAUAAACGCUAACAACGAAUUAGCUCUAGCUGCUUAAUUAAGCAACUACAUUCGGUUUCUCAAUAUCUCCUGAGGGUUUCCGGGUGUCACUUUAUGGAGGUCUGUUCUUUCGUUUGUCGAUUCGCGAAAAAAGCAGUAUUUCGGAUCGGAUUGGGAGAAACUACCUGGUUGUGGGUUAAGUUUUCCUGAAAUUCAUAUACAGCCUAAACAUGUAGAGGCUAUAUUAAGGCACAAUAGGACGCGGGUUCGAAUCCCGCCGUCUCCAA